rnacentral:rRNA from 1 species
CUCUGCGCAAGGGAUCUUUUGGUUCGCUAGACGAAGAAGGGCGCAGCGGAAUGCGAAAUGUGCAAGAGCAGCAGCGAAGAUAGCACAUGCCUGAAAUCACGAGAGUGAGACUACCCCUUUG